rnacentral:rRNA from 1 species
AUGGCUAAACUAGAAAAGCGUUUCACCUACACCGAAAAGCUAUCCGUGCAAAUCGGAUUACUCUGACACCUAAAAGCUAGCUAUGAACAGUAAUUAACAAAUACUUUUAACAUACAUAUUAAUACACUAAAAAUCUUUAUUAAACCAUUUUUCACAUCUUAGUAUAGGCGAUAGAAAAGUAAACUUUUAGCUAUAGAUUUAAGUACCGUAAGGGAAUGCUGAAAGAGAAAUGAAACAACUCAGUAAAGUAACAUAAAGCAGAGAUAAAUACUCGUACCUUUUGCAUCAUGAUUUAGCAAGAAUAAUUAAGCAAAAUGUUUUCUAGUUUAUUCCCCCGAAACUAAGUGAGCUACUCCGAAACAGCCUAUUAAUGGGGCGAACACAUCUCUGUGGCAAAAGAGUGUGAAGAUUUCUGAGUAGAGGUGACAGACCUACCGAACUUAGUUAUAGCUGGUUGUCUGAGACUUAAAUAAAAGUUUAGCCUCUAACUUUCUAAAUUUAAAUAUGCUUUCAUCGUCAUAACAAUAAUAGAAUAUUAAAGAGUUAUUCAUAAGGGGUCCAGCCCUUAUGAAAAAGGACACAACCUUAGCAGGUGAUUAAUGAACAUACAACAAAAGGUUAAUGUUUUAGUGGGCCUAAAAGCAGCCACCUAAGAAAAAAGCGUUAAAGC